AGGAAGGAGAGAUCAUGGCGGACGGGAGGCAAGACUAGCCUGCAGCUCUGGACAGAGCAGCGAGUGGGAGCUCGCAUUGUAAACUUUAGCUCCAGAUGGACGGCAAAAACAAACCAGCAAUCCCCAGAGGACCCACAGACCCUCUGAAGGAAGUGGGCUGCUCCUGCAGGACCCGGGAGACCCCCAAAACUGUGAGUGUCCAGCUGCCGAAGUGGGAAAGGGAAACCCUCCUCUCCGGAACAGACACCCCCUGAGAAGUCUAUUUGUGGGAGAAGUUUCCGACUUUACCUGGAGCUGAGUCAGUCUGGAGAGCUGACUGAAAUACAGGGAUAGAGGAGGCAGCAGCAAGGCCCUGGGAGCUGAAUGGGUCCCCGGGCAGCCCAUUCCUGCCUGGCACCACAGGGAUCCAACGGGAGAGGAACAGAGGGUAAAACUACACGGAGAGAAGGAAAUCUCUAGCUGAACUUUGUAACAAUUCGAACAGCGUGAGAAGUCUCCUGGCCAGAACUCGGGGGAGGACACAAAUCUCCUGCACAGUUAAUAUCCAGAGUCACACGUGGAGAGGAAGCAUCACAAUGAGACCAUACAACCAUAUAAUCUGUUCAAGUCCUAGAAGGUGUUGGCAGAGCUGCAGGACUGACCUAGGUCAAUGGCUGUGGGGGAAGAAAAGACACCAGAUGUUUCCGAUCAAGAGACAAGAGAAACAUUCAGCGUGACCCUAGAAAAUCUUUCUAAAGAGAUUUCACAACACUCAGCUCAUGUUUCGGGUCCAUGAAACCAUCUUUAGAUGAAUGAUGCCUUGUUACCUGUGAGAGGAAGUGAGCAGCGAGGAGUCCUGUCAGUUCCGGAAGGAGUAUUUGGGUUACUGUUCUUCAUUGUCUGCAGUUCUGUCUUGCUCAGUCGCCCAGGCUGAAGUGCAGUGGUGUGAUCAUAGCUCACUGCAGCCUCAACUUCCUGGAGUCAAGCAAGCCUCCCACAUCAGCCUCCUGAGUAGAUUGGAGACCUGUUGUGUGUUACCUUUGGAAGGUUUUCCACAGUUGAGAUCCAGUUGCUCCAGCAUCAUUUGUUGAGUGGUCUCUCUUCAUCCACAGAGCUCCAGAGUGUCUCCUCUUACAGGACUUCUACACGUUGGGCACAAAUUUCAGCAUGGCGUUAAGAAGAACUGUGAGUGGGCAUUCUUGCCUUAUUUCUACUUUCAGAGGAAGAUAUUUUGUUGUUCCCUGUUGAUAUUUGCAUUCAGAUGUUUUGUGAGUCCUUCUUAGUAUAUGAAGGGUAUUAUAUUCCAUUCAUUAUUUCAUUCAGUUCAAAAAAUUUUCUACAUUUGACCAUAUAUUUGUGAUAAAAAGAAUGUUUAGCAGUGUAUUUCAAAAACAUAUUUCAAAACAUAUGGGAAUUUUCCAAAUUUUUCUGGCUAUUCAUUUUCUAACUUAAUUGCUGAUAAUUAAGAAAGUAAAUUAUUAUCUUGUCUGAGUUAAGCAUUGUAUGAAUGCCAGUAAAAAGAGAAGUAGAGAAAAUCAUGCAAGAUAAAUUGGGUAUAUAGGUUCCUAAAAUGUGAUACCUGAGCUAGAGUGGAAGAAGCUGCAGCUUUAGAACCAGUUUAGAUUCUUGGUUUGUUUUCAUCUUUCCUUGACUCUGGGCCACUUCUGUAUCACCAACGUUUACAAUGAUUGAAUGUCACUCUAGGUUCAUUUACUUCUUAUUCUAAAGCCAAAUAUUUAGGUCCAUUAGAGGCCAACAUUAUUAUUAAGAGCUCUUUAGCACCCAAUGACAUUUUUCUUUCAAAAAGUCAAUAUUUUAUAGAAUCUAAAUUAAGUGGGAAAAGAGAUUUAAGAUUCGCUAUGAAUACAUUCUAAUUAUUUUUACAACAUUUUAUAACAAGAUUAAACUUUUGGUGAGUUCUGCUAAACUAUGAUAACUACAAAUCUGGAAACCUUUUUCUCCCCCCCAAAAUAAUUUUAUCUUUUAGGUUCUUUCUUCUUUUUUGUUCCUCUGUUUUUGCUGAUACAUUGAGAGUAGAUUUUAGCAAUUUUAAAGUAAGAGGGCUAUUCUCGUCAGUACAAGUUCUCCCAGGAAAAAUUUUUUAAAAAUCAGACAUACUUACCAAUCUGCGAAUAAACUUAAUAGUGAUAUAAAGGUAAAGUCAUGGGAGGAUUAAAAUCUGGAUUAAAAUCAAGAUACGGAAUUCUAUGAAAAUAAAUAUGAUUUCUGAUAUCUUUUUAAAGGUGCUGAACAGCUGAGUACACUCUAUUUUCAAAGAAUAAUGUUUUCCCUGGGUCCCCGGUCAGCUAUGAUUUCCCAGGAUGAUAUAAUGUUUCUUGCACUGGAAAAAUACAUAUUAUUUUUAGGUUAAAAGUUAUAAAAAGUGUUUUAUUCCCUGUGGCUAUCCCUCCUCCUCAAGCUACUAGGAAAAUGGUGAAAACAGAAAAAUCAAAACAAGAAUACCAACGGAUACGUUUUCUAAAACUUAACAUGCAUGUCUUUGAGAAUUCAAUUUUGUUAGCCACAUUUCAGAUAUAUAACCUUUUUCCUUUAAUAAUCUAUGAUUUAAAUGCUCAAAUGUUUUUAAGCAUGUGGUGCUGGCUCCAAAUAACCCUCCAUCUUGAGAGAUGCGACCCUCCCCAGGUUUCUCCCUUCAUCACUACCAGCAUCCGUUCUCUCUCUGGACAAGCUCUCCCUGAGCAGAAGGCUUAAUUGUGAAAUGGAAUGCCCUGGAUAAUGAGAGAAAAAAGGGGAAAAGAAGUCCUUUAGAUAUCAGAGAGAGAGAAUGAUGAUAUAAGGGAUGUGGCAUAUUGAUUUAAAUAUUAGCAUAUUGAUUUAAAUUACCUUGAAGAUAUGUACAAGCUGUAAUUAAGAAUUAAACAUUAGUAGGUGUCAUUUUGAUCAUAAUUAAGGGGCCUCAGGUAGCACUGGCAGCUUGACUUCCACUUGGAAUUUCUUCUUCUAAGUAUUAGGCACGUGCUUCUCUCCGUCACGGUACCACCCAUCCAGCUUGCACUCCUCCUAGGAUCGCUGGAGAUUCGCCUCAUGUUGCAGACCUAACCUGCACUCUGGGUUGUCUUGUUAAUUUCUGAAGUACCCCUCCACAUACAUCUAUCUGUGUGACCGCAUGCCUGGUCUGAUCUUUAUACGGUCAGUAGGUGUUGAGUUUUACCACUCUAGGUUGUCUUGUUAAUUUCUGAAAUACCCCUCCACAUAGACGUAUCUGUGUGACCACGUCCCUGGUCUGAUCUUUAUAUAGUCAGUAGGUGUUGAGUGUUACUGAUUUUUGGUCCCCGAGCUGGGUACAUUCAGGAACACACAUAUGCCCAGGUUUAUGGGCCGUUAUUCACAAGGCUCUCUUAGGUUUUCUAAUGUGAACAUUGUGUAGUCUUGGCAAGACUCAAUAAAAACUCUCUAAAAGAAAAUGGCUAGAAACAAACAUGGUAUAAAUUGCAAUAUCAGAAGCCCUGUGCUGAAAUAAAGCAAGAGUUCAUGUAGCCUGUGUUCAGCUUCUGACCACAGCAUCCAGAGAGAGCCUGCAGUGGGAAUCAUGCUUCUACUGAGUUUUCAAAUUAUGAUCAUGGAACACACAUUCUCCUGGAUGCCAAAGUGACUCAUGUUUCAUGGAUCAGCCUAAAGGUCAGUUCCUCUACUAAACUACUUUGAAUCCAUAGUCCUACAGUUUAAAAAUCUGGAAGGCAAUUCCGAGGUCACCCAGAGUGAUAAGGUCAUUGCAAUAUUUAAAUCAUGAGUUGAAAGCACUUUGCACAAUGUAACAUGCUAUAAAAAAACAAAUAUUUGUAGGAAUUAUUAAGAACCUUCAUCAGCAUUCCUGUGGAGUCAUCGCUAGGAGACUUGUGGUCUCUGAAAAGAGGACUGUUUUUAUACACAAUCAAUGUUUCUGUGUUUUGAUAGACAGAAUCAAUAGCUACCAACUGUUCAGCUGGGCUCAAACCACCAAACAGCUGGCUCUAUAUUCAUAUCCUCGUGGUUCAAAAUACUUUUAACCCUAUGAUGUAUAAAUUCCUACUCUGCACAGUUUUUACACACCGACCAAUAUAUACACAUCACAGAGGACACAUUUAGUGCUGCACUUCCUGCUGUGACUGUUAAAAAAGACAAGGGGCUCCCUGCUUGGCAGCUGUGAUGGCCUAGGAGUCAAUUUCUCAGCAGCACCAUUCUGGAACAUAAAAUCUUACAUUUAAUUAUAUCUACUGCACAGUUUUCAGAGUGUAGCUUAAUAAACAGUCAUCUGCAAAGAUCUAGAACCAGAAAUACCAUUUGACCCAGCAAUCCCAUUACUGCAUAUAUACCCAAAGGAAUAUACAUCAUUUUAUUACAAAGAUACAUGCAUGCAUGUGUUCACUGCAUUACUAUUCCCAAUAGCAAAGACAUGGAAUCAACACAAGUGCCCAUCAAUGAUAGACUGGAUAAAGAAAGUAUGGUACAUAUACACUAUGAAAUACUAUGCAGCCAUAAAAAGGAACAUAGUCAUGUUCUUUGCAGGAACAUGGAUGGAGCUGGAAGCCAUUAUCCUCAGCAAACUAAUGCAGGCACAGAAAACCAAACACCACAUGUUCUCACUUAUAAGUGGGAGCCGGACAAUGAGAACACAUGGACACGGUGAGGGGAACAUCACACACUGGGGCCUGGGGAGCAUUGGAAAACAUAGCUGAUGUAUGCUGGACUUAAUACCUAGGUGAUGGCUUGAUAGGUGCAGCAAACCACCAUGGCACACAUUCACUUAUGUGACAAACAUGCACAUCCCGCACAUGUACCCCAGAACUUAAAAUAAAAAUAAAAAUUUUAAAGGAAUUAAGAAAGGAAAAAAGCAGUCAUCCUUUUUGUACAGCUGAAAUUCAUCCUCAAAAGUACUUGGAAUACAGCACUCAUAUUCUUAGUGCUUCCAAAAAUCUCCCAAGAUUAUCCCAUUGUUUUGGAAAAUAAUACAUUGUGUGUAUAUAAUGAAUCUAUACAAAGGGCAUCUAAGGGUGAUAUGAAAAGACUCAUCUUGUGUGAUAUGCAUAUGCUGAGAAUUGUGGGUCUAUGCAGAUCGCCCUGGUCAAUUUUACCUUAGAGUUUUGGGGAGGUUAAUUUUGCCUAGAAAUACAAGAUGGCUUCCCUUUUUUUUUUUUAUUUUUUAUUUUCAGAUCACUUUAUUUAGGGAUGCGGCAAUGGCAGUAGUUCUCAAAAGGAAGCCGGGUAGAAGCAAAUUAAUUUCUAAGGUAUUCUAGACUCAGAUGUAUUGCAGAUGCUAACCCACUCUCGCCAGUUGGCAUCGAUGUCCUAGUCAGACGGGGACCAGGGAGUCUUUGUCGGUGUCUGUGGGUUCCUGCUUCUCAGCACCAGCAUCAGGGGGAGACGAAGUGCUGAUUAGGAGAACACACAUUGGCAGGCGCACGUGACAACCCUGGUCGGUGCUCUAUCCGUCUGGGUUUGUCCAACAAUUUAGUUCCAUAAAGAAGAGAACACAAAAGUCCUGCCUGCUAGGGAGGAAAUCAUCACUGAACUAAGCAAGGGGUAAGAUUCUGACUCCGGUCUGAUAAUUGCUGGAACAGGUUGAGGACAACGAACAUGACGUAGGAUGUAUGAGGUGAGAAAGGGCACAGUGAGCCCCAGGUCCAGGACACUGGUAGGUGUGUGGGACCUGAGAUGCACGUUGACCUCAUGUUGUUCUGGUCAAGCAACAUUUAAAGAUGAAUGAGAAUCUAUGCAAGAAUAUAAAGAGUCCCCAGGAUGGAAACACCGAAAGAAGACAGGUUCUGGAAAAAAAGUGGAAAGUAGAGAAGAGGGGUGAGGUAUCCAUACGCGCCCUGUAGCAUGUCUGUGUGAUAGAGAGAUGCAGAGAACCAAGGAAUCAAUGGUGAUUAAGACCCUGAUUGCAACAGGUGCAUAUGCAACUAGGUAGAAGAAUUUUUAAAUUAUCUAAAUAAUUUAACUCCUCCCCCAAAAAUACUUCACUAAGCAUUUUUAAAACGCACAUGGACCCUACCUUUCAGAAGUCGCUUAUCCUAACCAAAAUUUUUCAGGAGGGUUUCCUAGUUAAUGGAUGUGCUGCUUGCCACUGAAACCUCCUAAACCAUGUAACUCAUUAUGUUUGCAGAAUUAUGUGAGGCAGAUGCCCAGUAAGACCAAGAAUGCAGAGAAAUCUAAUAGAAACGCGGGAAGCAAUCAUAAAAGUCUUUAAAGGCAGACUUGAGUACUGUCAGCCUUAUGCUACUUUCUUUGUGUAAGAUUGAGUUAUCUUAAACUGUGUCCAUGGGAAAUAAAGGAGAACAGAAGCCUGCUUUUUAAAGGCUUUGUGUUACGAAACUGCAUUUAGAGUUUAUUAGAAACAGGAAUAACUUAGGUAGCAAUGUCAAUCAGACGUUAAAAAUAUAUAUGUGGGGCCGGAGCUGGUGGCUCGUGCCUGUAAUCCCAGCACUUUGGGAGGCCGAGGCGGGCAGAUCAGUUGAGGUCAGGAGUUUGAGACCAGGCUGGCCAACAUGGUGAAACCCUGUCUCUACUACAAAUAUGAAAAAUUACCGGGCAUGGUUGCAUGCACCUGUAACUCCAUCUACUCGGGAGGCUGAGGCAGGAGAAUUGCUUGAACCCAGGAGAUGGAGGUUGCAGUGAGCUGAGAUCAUGCCACUGCAGUCCACUCUGGAAACAGAGCAAGACUCCUUCUCAAAAUACAUACACACACACACACACACACACACACACACACACACACAGAAUAUAGAAAAUGUAUAUACACAUAUAAUACAAGAUAUAGAUUAGGUAGUUUAAAAGAAAAAUUGCACUGUACAAGAUGAGCAAACAAAUUUUAUUUUAUAUAUUUAUUUUAUUCCUACACUUUUACCAGCAAUAGGGAAGCGCUCACAGACAGAUAUGGUCUGGAAAUCCAGCUUCCUUGAAACAAAAGAAUGGAGAGUUUCAAGAGCUGAGUGGGGGAAUCACAGGUCACCUGCAUUUGCUAAUUGCUUUCCCCAAAGUAAAGGUAGAUUUUCUCCUGUGUUUAUGACAGAAAGGUAGUUUUACAACUUGGACUCCAGCAGAGACUGGAAAGGGGCCCCUACCUUGAUGAUUGCAUUCCAGAAGGAUGGUGCCCAUAGCCUUGGAAAAGUCGCUCCGAGCUGUAAAACUGGCCAGAGACUGGACAAAGAUUUACAUCUCAAAGGACAGAGAAAGAAUUCAUCAUGAGCAGUGUUCUAAAGUAAAUGCUCUCCAUAAAGGGAGGUCAGAAAGAAAUCAUCUAACAUUGAGACUGGCUGAGGGACAGGUGGACACCAUCUUGGUCGGUAGCUAUCAACAGAGAAGGACCAGCUGAGGCUGGGGAAUAGAUACUGGUGAUGAUGAUGAUGAUCAUGAUUAUGAUAAUGGCACACAACUUUAUAAAGUCUUAAAAUUGAAAAAAAUAACACUCCAGUAAGUAUUUUCCCACUUAAAUGUUCCACAAUAAACAUGUGCCAUAGUAAUAGCAAAUGCGCAGCCCAGAAGCAGACUGGUGGGAGCUGGACCAUCCCGUGUCCUCUGGAUUCCGGUUCCGGGCUCUAUUGAGGUCAUUUUGCCUGCUAAGGUUGAAAAGAUGCAGUGUGGAAAUAUGUGAGGGUAUCCAAGACCGAAUCAUGAAAAAUAUGCACACCUUCAGCGCCCUAAAUAUACACGAUUACCCUCAGUGCCCAGCACGUCCAAAAUCCAACGCGUCAUUUCACCUUCUUGUCACUGACUAGUAUUUCUGUCAGUGGUGCUAGGAUUCUUUCAAAUUAAUCAUCACGCACCUUCAAAACAACUUAUCUGUCUCCUAAAGGAUCACCUCUCCUCUCUAAUUCUUUCUAUAUCCAGCUGCCAAAUGUAUCUUUCUAAGUGGUUCCUAUGUUGCCACUACUCCGCAUCAAAAAUUGAGUUACCAGCUGAAAUAAUGUGAUCAUCUUGGUCUUUUCAUGGCCAAAUUAAGCCAUUUACAUGUAUUUUUGAUAAGUGAUCUGCUUGGUUUCAUAAUAUCUAUUUCAGCUUUGUUUUCUAUAUGUUGCAGUUUUAUGCCAUUUUCUUAUUUUGACUCUUCACCUUCUUGUUUCUUCAUUACAUUUUGAAAUUGUUACAACGCUUUAAAAUUCUACUGAUUAUAUUUCCAUAAGGCAUUGAAGACACAUAAACUUCUGGGAUGUUUCAAAGGUACUGCAGAAGAUUUAAUCAGUUUUUGGCUAUUGCUAGAAUGUCCUCUAACCCUAAGUUUCUUCACUUUCUGAUAAAUGCUUGAUAUGGUUUUGCUGUGUCUCCACCCAAAUCUCAUCGUGAAUUGUAGCUCCCACAAUUCCUAUGUGUCAUGGGAGGGACCUGGUUGGAGAUAAUUGAAUCACGGGGGCAUUUUCCCCCCAUACUCUUCUCCUGGUAGUGAAUAAGUCUCACGAGAUCUGAGAGUUUUAUAAGGGGAAACCCUUUUCGCUUGGUUCUUAUUUUCUCUGCUGCCAUAUAAGAUGUAUCUUGUGCCGUUCCCCUUCCACCAUGAUGGUGAGGUCUCCCCAGCCACGUGGAACUGUGAGUCAGUGAAACCUCUUUUCCUUUAUCAGUUACCCAGUCUCGGGUAUGUCUUUAUCAGCAGCAUGAAAAUGGUCUAAUACAAUGCCUAUUUUAUAGUCGAUGCAUGGGCACACUGUUAGAGAACCCCAAAUUGCAAUAUUCUUUCUUACCAUUUUGUUAUUGUUGUUAUUGUUUUUAUUUUCUCUUACAGAUAUCUAAUUUGAUUUAACUGACAUUUAGGAUACUUCAAACCUUUUCUCAGGUUGGGUACAGGGAUGCGGAUAGUGCCUGGGAAGUGGUACGUCGACAAAAGUCUUUCUCUUACCAUGUAGCCUGAGUUCUCUAGGUUUUGAAGACAUUUCAUUUGCCUGAGUAGCUUAAAGACACUGAUGACUGUGCCAAGCCUCCAGGACUGUGGAGGAGAGGUGGUAUCAGUGUGACUCUCUUUUGUAUUCUGUCUACUUGUACAAUCUGGCAGCGCAUGUGAUUCUGACUCCAUCUUCAGGAUUUUUGGGUAUAUCAAUAUAUCCAGACUAUUUGUAAAAUUUAUUUCCUCUGCAAUUCACUGUCACUUUUUAAUUCAAAAACACAUUUUUCUUUAUCCACAAAAAAUAAUUUUUUACUGCUUGUUAAUUCUUGCAUCUCCAUCCAGUUUUACUCCUUUAGGGCAUUAUAAGAAUUAUUUUUCUUGGAUCUGCCUUCCAAUUCACAUAUAUUUUGUCUUAAUAUUUCUAUCUAAUUGUGUCUCUGAUUUUUAUACUGAUAGGUACUUUUCCCAUUUUUUAUUCAUGAUAUUAAUUGGUUUUGUGGCACAAGUUUUUAAAGUUUUAUUUUCUUCAACUCCUAUUUUGAUUCUUUUUUUCCCAACAUCCUACUUCUCUUUGCUUGUUUAUUUCUUUGGUCUUUUUGACAUUUAUCUUGGUCUCUAGAAGUCUCCCGCGAACACACAGAGGCCCAAGACUGCUUACACACUUCUAUUUAAAAGAGAGGCCUAGGAAGGUAAUUAAAGCUUGCGUGAAUAACCGAGUCUUAACAGCCAGUGUGUGUCAUUUAAGGGUAAUCAGGUGACAACCGCCAUCUGGCCGUUUCAUCGUGGGGUGGGGGGGGGCCCAAGCAUCAGCAUAAGUAUAUAUGUUCUCAGUGAUGGUUAAGUUUCAGCAAAAAAAUCUCAUCAACCUUCUGCUAGGGUGAAAGGUAUAUGACUGGUUGACAAUGUUCCGAGGCCCCAUUGGAAGGCGGAAACAAAGGAUUUUGUAGUUCAGGAUAUUAACUUUCAGCCCAUCAACCUGUUUUGAGUACCGUAUUGCAUGCCUGCACCCAACGCCCAGAGUCUGGGGUGUUCUGUUUUAAUUUCUCUUGACACCCCGGCUCCCUUAGGGGAGAAGGGGAUGUUGAGGGAGACUCACUGACCUGCUUCACAUUCCUUCAGUCAACUUUUGUGUUCUUACCUUCACUCCUUAUUUCCACCAUGAGAGUUUCACUAUGCUUUGAAUUACUGGGAUUUCCACAAUUAAGCAAUGCAAAUUAUUGAAUUAUUUUGUUUAUCUUAUUUCUCAUUUGUAAUAACUUGUUAUGUGAAUUUUCUUUGUCAUCAGUUAUCACAAAUACACCAACUUUAUUGUUAAAUAUUUUUUCAUCAUCAUUCAUAUUCUGGGGUCUCUUCUGUUUUCUUUAGGGUCUACUGUUCUUGGAUGAAUUAUACAUACGAGGCUUCAAUGGAUCUCAUACGUUACCCAUAGUUUUCCCAUUUCCUUCAUGGAAUUUCUAAGUGUACUAGUUAAAUUUGUUUUUCUCUUCAGUUCUUAAAGCCAUUUGGGCACUGCAGUUGUAUCUUACUGAGUUUGCCUUUGUUGUGUAAAAUAUCUUUUUUUUUUUUUCUCCCUCUUCAGUGUAAGCCACCUCUUCCAGAUGUCUUUCCUUCCUCUGUAGAUAGUCGGUUCUCCUUUGAGGAUGGAAACCACCCACGCAGCUUGCCAUUUUUAUUAACAUGAUUUUAUAAUUCCCUGUUUUCAAGAACAUAACUUUACUUGUGUUUCGCUUAGGAUCCUAGGAGAUGCUUGCACCAGAAGAUAAAGUUGCAACUAACUUUAUUGCUUACUCCAAAGACUCAUCCGUUCUUCAAUAGGAAAAUCAAAAGCCAGUUUAAAACAGUCUAAGACUUUCUGAACAAUUCGGCCUCAAAAUUCUUGGCAUUGUCUGGCCACAAAUUCUAAACAAUUAUAUCAUAAUCUUUCCCCAAAUUAACCAAUAUCCUGAAUUGAAAGAUGCACCAUAAGUCAGAUUUUUCAGUCUCAAUAAAUAUCCUGAAUUGUGUUUUACCUAAUGGUUCAGCACGGAUUCCCUGUGGGAGUACUGCUGGCCCUGGGUGCAUAAGCAGUGAACCUGGCUUUGUCUUUUCAGCGGGCUUUUUGGUGAUACUUUGCAGAACCAGCGUUGAAUAUCCUCAUGGAAUAGUCCCUUCUCUGCCGACUGAUAGUGUUUCGCUUUGUCAGCACCCUUGCUGGGGACCAAAUUGUGUCCUGCCGCAAGUCAUACGGUGAAGCCUGAAGCCCCAGGGUGACUGUAUUUGGAGACAAGGCCUUUAGGCAGGUAAUUAAGGUUAAAUGAUGCCAUAGGGUGUUGUCCAACAGACUUGGUGACUCCACAAAGGAAAUACACCAAAGGAAGGCCAGAUGAGGACACAGGGAGAAGUUGGCCAUUUGCAACCUAGAAGAAGGCAGAACCUGACCGUGUGGGCGCCCUAAUCUCAGACUUGCAGCUUCCAGAACUGCGAGAUAAUACAUCUGUGCUGUUUAAGUCACGGGGUCUGUGGUAGGGUGUUAUGGCAGCCACGGCUGUAAGACCACCCAUAUGGUGGGUGCGGUCGGUGCCCCUGGGGCAGUAGCCAACAGGUGGUUAAGAGUGAUGCUGCUUUUUUGCCCUCUUUUGGGAAGAAGGAAAUGAUUUGAGGGAAUGUUACCCUCUGCUAGUGAAUUGGGUUGAGGCACCACUACUUCCUGAUCAAUUGGCUUCAAGCAGCAUUUCUCCCUAUUUUUGUUGUUGUUGUUGAAACAGAGUCUCACUGUAUCACCCAGUCUGGAAUGCAAUGGCAUUGCAACCUCAGCCUCCCAGGUUCAUUGCAACCUCAACAACCUCAGCCUCCCAGGUUCAAGUGAUUCUCCUGCCUCAGCAUCCCUAGUAGCUGGAAUUACAGGCACACGCCAUGACACCCAGCUUUAUUUUGUAUUUUUAGUAGAGACGGGGUUUCACCUUGUUGACCAGGCUGGUCUCAAACUCCUGACCUCAAGUGAUCUGCUGGUCUUGGCUUCCCAAAGUGCUGGGAUUACAGGCGUGACCCACCACACCCAGCCCAUUUAUCCCUAUUUUUUUUAAUUUCAAGAGCAAUAUGUUGAGAUAUUGUCAUCGCCUUUCCUGCUGACCAAAGUCCUGGUUGGCACAGCAGAUGCAGGCUCCACCCAGUGCUUGGUAUUAAAUCAUCUUAAGCCUUAAAAAGAGACAGGUUUUCUCCCCUGACAUUAGCCCUUCAGUUUUUGCCUGGCAAGGAAAAAAUGAAGAAGUGCUGAUGACUUUUUUCUCUAGAAUUCCUGAAAAAGUAUGUAGUAUUACCCCAACUUUUCUGCAUAUUCUCUACACUUCUCUUCUUGAAUUUAUGAUUUCUCAUUUUCUUUCUUUCUUUCUUUCUUAUCUCUUUCUUUCUUUUUCUUUCUUUCCUUUUUUUUUUUUUUUUUACGGAGUCUUACUCUAUCAUCAAGGCUAGAGUGCAGUGGCAUGAUCUUGG
rnacentral:lncRNA from 1 species